AUGGCCGACACAAGUCAAAGUGUAGUACGUGUUCUUAACAGCUUAAUAUUUGAUACGGGUUGUAAUUGGACCCAAUAUAUUAAACUUAUUUUUGCAAGUUGCUGCAGUGCUUGAAGCCUGCUUCACCUUCAUUGCGGGUCGGCCCGGUAUUGCACUAUCUUCACCAUUUACAGCUUCGGUGUA